rnacentral:rRNA from 1 species
CCUACGGGCGGCAGCAGUGAGGAAUAUUGGUCAAUGGACGAGAGUCUGAACCAGCCAAGUAGCGUGAAGGAUGACUGCCCUAUGGGUUGUAAACUUCUUUUAUAUGGGAAUAAAAUGUUCCACGUGUGGGAUUUUGUAUGUACCAUAUGAAUAAGGCUCGGCUAACUCCGUGCCAGCAGCCGCGGUAAUACGGAGGAUCCGAGCGUUAUCCGGAUUUAUUGGGUUUAAAGGGAGCGUAGGUGGAUUGUUAAGUCAGUUGUGAAAGUUUGCGGCUCAACCGUAAAAUUGCAGUUGAAACUGGCAGUCUUGAGUACAGUAGAGGUGGGCGGAAUUCGUGGUGUAGCGGUGAAAUGCUUAGAUAGCACGAAGAACUCCGAUUGCGAAGGCAGUUCACUGGACUGCAACUGACACUGAGGCUCGAAAGUGUGGGUAUCAAACAGGAUUAGAUACCCUUGUAGUC